GUAUAGCUCAGUGGUAGAGCGCUCCCCUAGCAUGGGAGAGGGCUGGGGUUCAAUUCCCCAUAC
rnacentral:tRNA from 1 species